AUGGAUCUUCUUAGGGAUGUGAUUAUUGGCCCUAAGGGAACACCCUACCAUGAUGGCCUCUUCUUCUUUGAUGCACAUUUUACCUCUGAUUAUCCUUCUGAGCCUCCUUGGUGUAUUGCCAUUCUGGAGGGCUUCGACUUAAUCCGAACUUUUUAUAAUUGUGGAGAAGUCUGCCUUCGCCUCCUUGGUACCUGGAGUGGUAGUGGUUGCGAGAAGUGGAACUCAGCUCACUCAACAAUGCUGCAGGUGCUUGUGUCCAUUCAGGCUCUCAUUUUGAAUGAGAAGCCAUACUUCAAUGAGCUGGGAUAUGCAGGCUCUGCGAAUACCGCAACUGGAUAA
rnacentral:rRNA from 1 species